UACAGAGAGUGCAAACGUUGUUCGGAAUUACUGGGCUUGAAGCGCACGUAGGCGGCGUUGUAAGUGUCGGGUGAAAUCCCACGGCUCACCCGUGGAACUGCCCGGCAUACUGCGAUGCUAGAGUGUGGUAGGGGAGAGCGGAACUCCUGGUGGAGCGGUGAAAUGCGUAGAUAUCGAGAGGAACACCGGUGGCGAAGGUGGCCAACUGGACAGAUACUGACGCUGAGACACGAAAGCGUGGGGAGCAAACAGG
rnacentral:rRNA from 1 species